rnacentral:rRNA from 1 species
UUCCGGUUGAUCCUGCCGGAGGCCAUUGCUAUUGGGAUCCGAUUUAGCCAUGCUAGUCGUACGAGUUCACACUCGUGGCGAAUAGCUCAGUAACACGUGGCCAAACUACCCUUCGGACCGCAAUACCCUCGGGAAACUGAGGCUAAUAGCGGACACCACACGCAGACUGGAAUGUCGCGUGUGUCAAACGCUCCGGCGCCGAAGGAUGUGGCUGCGGCCGAUUAGGUAGACGGUGGGGUAACGGCCCACCGUGCCAAUAAUCGGUACGGGUCAUGAGAGUGAGAACCCGGAGACGGAAUCUGAGACAAGAUUCCGGGCCCUACGGGGCGCAGCAGGCGCGAAACCUUUACACUGCACGCCAGUGCGAUAAGGGGAUCCCAAGUGCGUAGGCAUAGAGCCUACGCUUUUGUCCACCCUAGGGUGGUGGACGAAUAAGGGCUGGGCAAGGCCGGUGCCAGCCGCCGCGGUAAUACCGGCAGCCCGAGUGAUGGCCGAUCUUAUUGGGCCUAAAGCGUCCGUAGCUGGCCGCACAAGUCCAUCGGGAAAUCCACCUGCUCAACAGGUGGGCGUCCGGUGGAAACUGUGUGGCUUGGGACCGGAAGGCGCGACGGGUACGUCCGGGGUAGGAGUGAAAUCCCGUAAUCCUGGACGGACCGCCGAUGGCGAAAGCACGUCGCGAAAACGGAUCCGACAGUGAGGGACGAAAGCUAGGGUCUCGAACCGGAUUAGAUACCCGGGUAGUCCUAGCCGUAAACACUGCCUGCUAGGUGUGGCACCCACUACGAGUGGGUGCUGUGCCGUAGGGAAGCCGCUAAGCAGGCCGCCUGGGAAGUACGUCCGCAAGGAUGAAACUUAAAGGAAUUGGCGGGGGAGCACUACAACCGGAGGAGCCUGCGGUUUAAUUGGAUUCAACGCCGGAAA